rnacentral:rRNA from 1 species
GACGAACGCUGGCGGCGUGCUUAACACAUGCAAGUCGAACGGAAAGGCCCUGCUUUUGUGGGGUGCUCGAGUGGCGAACGGGUGAGUAACACGUGAGUAACCUGCCCUUGACUUUGGGAUAACUUCAGGAAACUGGGGCUAAUACCGGAUAGGAGCUCCUGCUGCAUGGUGGGGGUUGGAAAGUUUCGGCGGUUGGGGAUGGACUCGCGGCUUAUCAGCUUGUUGGUGGGGUAGUGGCUUACCAAGGCUUUGACGGGUAGCCGGCCUGAGAGGGUGACCGGCCACAUUGGGACUGAGAUACGGCCCAGACUCCUACGGGAGGCAGCAGUGGGGAAUAUUGCACAAUGGGCGGAAGCCUGAUGCAGCAACGCCGCGUGCGGGAUGACGGCCUUCGGGUUGUAAACCGCUUUCGCCUGUGACGAAGUGUGAGUGACGGUAAUGGGUAAAGAAGCACCGGCUAACUACAUG